UUAAACAGCCUUCUAAUCAACUGGAGCCCUAAGGGUAGGAAGAGAGGCCCAUUGACUCAGCUACAAGGCUUAUGGAUAAGUUUAGGCGUCCCUGACAGGGAAGCAAAUGUGAUGUAAAACAUGUUUUGUAACCUUCAUGAGGUAGGAAGAGGUGCAUUUGUGGCAGUUGCUGGGAGAUCAGGACAAAAGGGAGUUUGCCGUGUGACAUCAGUGCCAUCAUUUUGACUCCGGUCCUGGUUUGCUGCAGAUGCUGUCUGUGUCUUGGAGCUCAAGACCCGGCAUAAAAACUCACUCUUCCAGUUGUUCCUGCUAUAACCCCUUGGAGCACAUUGAACACUCAUUUGGUCCUAGUGCAGAACGUUCUCCACUCUACUUUACUGGAAUUAUUUUCAAUUUGAUGGCAUGCUGAGCUUCAGAAGACGAUGGCAUGCUGAGGAAACAAUAAGGAAGAAAGAUGGAUCAGCUGCAGGCUAAAAACCAGGCUGAAAUGCUAUUAAACGUAAGAUUCUUCGCAUGGACUGUUUUCCAGAUGGACAAAGUCAGAAAAGGAUGUGUACCACCAUAUGGCAAUAGCAUUUUAGAGUGCACUCUGAGUGGUUUACAGAGUCAGCGUAUUGCCCCCCAACAAUCUGGGACCUCAUUUUACCCACCUCGGAAGGAUAGAAGGCUGAGUCAACCUUGAGCUGGUCAGGAUCGAACUCCUGGCUGUGGAAAGAGUUAGCCUGCAAUUCUGCAUUCUAACCAUUGUGCCACCAUGGCUCCUAUUGAGAUGCUUAAACCCAUUCACAGUCCUGUUUCCUCCACACUGUGAGCUAGCUCCUGAAAAGGUUUAGGGAUAUAUGAAGCAUAUAUCCCUAAACAUAUAAAUGGAGUUAGAAUCUCAAACUAUUUAGCUUUACAAGAGCUCUUUCUAGUAAGUGAUUUACUUAUUAGUCUUCAGAUCUUACAGCAUUGUUCUGAAUUUGUGCUUAGAUGAUUCAGUAAUAUCUUCUACAGUUGUGUUUAACCACCAUAAUUUAAAUAAAUUAGUAUACAACACCGGAAGGACAGAUCCAUAUUGCUGGGUGCAGCAAUGGAAUUUUGAUAGAAGUGAUGUAUCUCUUUUUUUUAAACAAAGAGUGUAAGAGAAGUUUCAAACAACUAAUUUUAUUUAUUUAUUUAUUUAUUUUAUUUUGUCAUAACAAUAUAUGUAGGUAUCAUACAAAAAGAUUAUAUAAUAUAUAAACACAUAUAUGAGUAAAUAUAAGGAGGUAUAAGCAUAUAUGUAUAUAGGAAGAAGAAAAGAAAAACAAUAGGACAGGAACGGUAGGCACGUUUGUGCGCUUAUGCACGCCCCUUAUGGUCCUCUUAGGAAUGGGGUGAGGUCAAUAGUAGAGAGUUUUUGGUUAAAGCUUUUAGGAUUAUGGGAAGAGACCAGAGAGUCAGGUAAAGUAUUCCAAGCACUGAUGAUUCUGUUACAGAAGUCAUAUUUUCUGCAAUCUAGAUUAAAGCGGUUGACAUUAAGUUUAAAUCUAUUGGUUGCUCUAGUAUUAUUGCAAUUGAAGCUGAAGUAGUCUUUAACAGGAAGGACAUUACAAUAGAUGAUUCUGUGAGUUAAACUUAGGUCUUGUCGAAGGCGACAGAGUUCCAAGUUUUCUAAGCCUAGGAUUUCAAGUCUGGUGGGAUAAGGUAUUUUGUUGUUUUCAGAGGAAUGGAGAACUCUUCUUGUAAAAUAUUUCUGGACACGUUCAAUUGUAUUGAUGUCAGAGAUGUGGUGAGGGUUCCAAACAGGCGAGCUGUAUUCUAGAAUUGGUCUAGCAAAUGUUUUAUAUGCUCUGGUUAGUAGUGUGGUGUUUUUGGAAAAGAAGCUACGCAAGAUUAGGUUUACAACUCUUAGAGCUUUUUUUGCUAUGUAGUUGCAGUGGGCUUUGGCACUUAGAUCAUUUGACAUGAAAACUCCAAGGUCUUUAACGGGAUGGGGGUCAUCUGUAAGGUAAUGUCCAUCUAGUAUGUACUUAGUGUUUGGGUUCUUUUUUCCUAUAUGUAAGACUGAGCAUUUGCUGGUUGAGAUUUGGAGUUGCCAAUUUUUAGACCAAGCGGUUAGAUGAUCAAGGUCUUUUUGAAUGAUAGAUGUAUUGUCUGUGGUGUUAAAUAGUUUGACAUCGUCAGCAAAGAGAACACAAUUACUUGAGAUGUGGUCACAAAGCUCAUUAAUGUAUAGUAUGAAGAGUGUUGGUCCAAGGACGCUGUCUUGAGGAAUCAAAUCAAAUCAAAUCAAAUCAAAGGAAUCUAAUCAAAUUCUGUAGCCUUCUUUUAUUCUCUAUCUACAUUUGAUCUUGAUUCAACAUAAUAACCAUACAAUUUUAGGGUGCUAGUAGUGCCACUGCCUUCUUCCAGGAGGGUUUUUACAUUCCAGUUUAGCCCACAAUCCGAUAUUUCAUAAUGAUAACUCAACCAAGUACUUGCUCUCCUGACCUGCUUAGAUCAGAUCAGAUGGAGUUGGCCAGCUGCUGCCACCUACUGAUAAUUAUCUUCAAAAGAUGCAUUUCCAGACCUGCUUUUUCUUUUCCUAAUCCAAGUAGUCCUCGAAUUACAACAGUUCGCUUAGUGACCGUUCAAAGUUACAACGGCACUGAAAAAAGUAACUUAUGACUAUUUUUCACACUUACCAUCGUUGCAGCAUCCCUGUGGUCACGUGAUUUAUGACAGCUAACUCACAUCUAUGACAUUUACAGUCUCCUGGGGUUAUGUGACCUCCUUUUGCGACCUUCUGACAAGCCAAGUCAAUGGGGAGACCAGAUUCACUUAAUAACUGUGUUACUAAUUUAACAACUGCAGUGAUUCACUUAACAAAUGUGGCAAGAAAAGUCUUAAAAUGGGUCAAAACUCACUUAACAAAUUUCUCACUUAGCAACAUAAAUUUUAGGCUCAGUUGUGGUCGUGAGUUGAGGACUACCUGUACUCACACACAGACAGACACACACACCUCUCAAUCGAAUGACACCAUGCAGUUUUUGAUAAUUGAAAGCAAAUAUGAUAAAACGUACAACUUCAAUAAAAGAAUAAACGUAACAAAUCCAUUUGAGAAAAGAAAAAUAACAUCAAUCUGCAGUAGAUAACAUCUAAAAGUUUGGAAGAAGAUGAUCAUUUUAAGUUUGCACCUUGAUGCUAACAAGGAGACCUCAUUUUACUAUUUCUUUAUAUAUGUUUUAAUUUUCUUCUAUUUUUUAAUCCUGUAGUAUAGAGACAGCUAGACACUGCUUUCAGAACAGUGAUAUAAAUCUUGCAGAGGAUGCAGCUGCAUUAAUGCUUUAAAGAAAGUAGUUUUGUUCAUGUUAAGUAUCUCUUUCAGUUUUUUUGCUCAAAGCUAGGAUUUAUAGUGGCUCACCCAAAUUAAUUAAAGGUAAGGCAGGAGAAAGAUUUAUGUUAUUUGCUGCACAUAGAAAAGAAGGAAUUGUAUAUGAUGUAAUAUAUAAUUGACAAUGGCUAUAGCAGAUUCAUAUUAAAAAUCAGAAAAAGGGAGAAGCAAGCAGAGAGAAAGACAGGUAAGCAAUAUUAUACUAUAAGUACUGCAUUUGGACAAUUACCCUAUUCCCCCAAAAUAAGACAUCCCAUGAUAAUAAGCCCAAUUGGGCUUUUGAGUGAAAUAAGGCCAAGCGCUUAUUUCAGGAUUCAAAAAAAUACAAGACGGUACUAUUUUCAGGGAAACACGGUAGUUUAAUAAGUAUAAUAAUAAGUACUAAUCAUAAUAUAAUUAUGACUAUUCCUAAAGUACACUAAGUCAUAAUUUACAAAUUUUAAUUGUCUUGCUCACCUAAACUUUGACUUACAAAUUAAACCAUUAACCUUGGUUUAUAAAUUAUACUAGCCAGGUUCACAUAAUGUUAAUACACCAGUGGUGGGAUUCAGCCGGUUCUAUCCGGAUCGUGCGAACCGGUAGCAAUGACUGAGGGAGGCUCCGCCCACGCACCCUGACAUAAUGCGCAACUACUGCAUGCACGCUCACAUUUGCAAACCAGUAGGGAAGGUAAAUGAAUCCCACCUCUGUAAUAAACCAACUACAGUUCAACAGCAUAUUGUUUGAACUUAGCUAGUAUCAAAUUGGUGCUUUUUUUUACAGAGAAAUGGAAUGACUAAUGGUGAUUAUGGAAGACCUUGUAAGCUGAUGAAGCACAAAAUAUGACGCUUACAAGAAAAAAUAUACUGAUGGUAUAUCUUAAAUACCAAUAGUGUAAUAGAUCAAAGAAUACAAGCAGAGCACAUUUUAGAUUCUCUAACUCUACGUUUCAGGGCCACCUGCUUGUCAAAUGUACAAUUACCAAAUAGAAAGUACACUUACAGUAUCUAAUCUUUUAAACUGAAUCUAUCUGGGAAUUUCAUUAAAAGUUUAACAUGAAGUUUGAGAGACCCUAUGUAACUUAAGUUACAUAGUUUCUGAGUUGAGAAUGAAAUGACCACAACUCUGAUUACAAGCUUUCCUUUUUCCCCCACUUUUGGAAUGCUUAUCCUACUGCUGGAAUAAUUAGCAAGAAGAGAAUUAAUGUUUGGAUUUCCAUUCAUUGGGAGGAAGGGAUUACAAGAGAGUAAACUGGCACACAGUGAGAGGCAUGCAAUGGGAAAUAUACAUAGAAAAGUAUGUGCUAGCACCAACUCUUUUACCCAGCACACUUCUGGCACUGAGCCCCAAGCCACUUCCAAGGCAAAAGUAUGAAAAUAAUUAAACUCUUGUCAGUUACUGGCAGCAGCUGUGAGUCAGAUAAUUAAAGUCACAGCUGAACUUGUUAAGUUGCAUUAGCACUUUUAUGGAAGUGCUGUGCUGGGAGAAAAGCAGUUUAGGAAGAUAUUACUUGCUCUGCAAGAGUGGUUAAAAUAAAGUUCAGGCAAGACAAGCUGUACUAACUUUAAUGGCAAACCUAUGACUAAGAGAAAGAUGCUGUGAGGAUAAUAAAUGCAUCUCCUGGUUGCAAAGUUAUAUUUUUUUCAAUAACUUUGAAUUGUCUCUGCAAAAGGCAGGCAGUACACAAACUCUAUAUUUAAUGAGGAACACAAACUGAUGUGGGUAGCAGGAUAAUUUGCAAAAAUAAUCUACAUGCGGCCUUAAAGAUGAAUAUGGAUAGCAUCCAUUCCCUUUUUCUAAUAUAUACAUUUUAUUAGGAAUUUUGAAUAAGAGUACAGUUAAGAGAGAAAAUGUAUAAAGAGAUGACUUCACAACAACUGUAACAAAUUUAGUAACUUUAUCCUCUCUAAAGUUAAAUUAGUUUACUUUAUUGAUCAGCCCUUGGGCCAUAUCAAAGUGCAGAGUUCCAAAGAUAAAUUAUUACUAAAAUCUGACAAAAACAAUUUAAAAUGGAAUUGGAAUAAAAUACAAUUUAAAAUAAAAUUGGAAUAAAAUACAAUUUAAAAUGAGCUUGGAAUACAAUACAAUACUUUAAUAUAUGGAUAUAUAAAAUAUGAUAAAAUUAUAUUUCAGUAUCACCCCUACAAUCUACCCCAAUUAGUCCCACAUAUGCCGAUCUCAACUGAACCAUUUUGCUCAAGUACUUUGCCAUAUUAAAUGUAUAGAAUAACAUAAGAUCCAAAAUGUGUUUUAAUAUGUCGAUUAAGUAGGAAUAUGUGGGAAUAGAUGAACAAAGUUAAGAAUUAUGUACUGUCAGACAGACAUUGAAUUGUAUAAUUAUUACGGAUGUAUUUUUGUUAUAGAUGU